UUGUAAACUGCUUUUAUACAGGGAUAAAGUGAGGGACGUGUCCCUUUUGUAGGUACUGUAUGAAUAAGACGCUAAUCCGUGCCAGCAGCCGCGGUAAUACGGAAGGUCCGGGCGUUAUCCGGAUUUAUUGGGUUUAAAGGGAGCGCAGGCUGAUGAUUAAGCGUGACGUGAAAUGUAGCCGCUCAACGGCUGAACUGCGUCGCGAACUGGUUAUCUUGAGUGAGUUCGAUGUUGGCGGAAUUCGUGGUGUAGCGGUGAAAUGCUUAGAUAUCACGAAGAACUCCGAUUGCGAAGGCAGCCAACAAGGCCUUUACUGACGCUAAAGCUCGAAGGUGCGGGUAUCGAACAGGAUUAGAUACCCUGGUAGUCCGCACGGUAAACGAUGGAUGCCCGCUGUUUGCGAUAUACUGUGAGCGGCCAAGAGAAAUCGUUAAGCAUCCCACCUGGGGAGUACGCCGGCAACGGUGAAACUCAAAGGAAUUGACGGGGGCCCGCACAAGCGGAGGAACAUGUGGUUUAAUUCGAUGAUACGCGAGGAACCUUACCCGGGCUUGAACUGCAGGAGAACGAUACAGAGAUGUUGAGGCCCUUCGGGGCUCCUGUGGAGGUGCUGCAUGGUUGUCGUCAGCUCGUGCCGUGAGGUGUCGGCUUAAGUGCCAUAACGAGCGCAACCCUUUUCAUUAGUUGCCAUCAGGUAAUGCUGGGCACUCUGGUGAUACUGCCACCGUAAGGUGUGAGGAAGGUGGGGAUGACGUCAAAUCAGCACGGCCCUUACGUCCGGGGCUACACACGUGUUACAAUGGGGGGUACAGAAGGCGGGAUCAAUGCAAAUUGGUUCAAAUCUUAAAAGCCCUCCUCAGUUCGGAUUGGGGUCUGUAACCCGACCCCAUGAAGCUGGAUUCGCUAGUAAUCGCGCAUCAGCCAUGGCGCGGUGAAUACGUUCCCGGGCCUUGUACACACCGCCCGUCAAGCCAUGAAAGCCGGGGGCGCUUGAAGUCCGUGACCGCAAGGAUCGGCCUAGAGCGAAACUGGUAAUUGGGGCUAAGUCGUAACAAGGUAAAUCACUGCCGUCGUACGAC
rnacentral:rRNA from 1 species